rnacentral:rRNA from 1 species
GGUUUUAAAGUAAAAAAGAUAAAAUCUUUGAAAUAAAACUAAAAGGACGCGGUAACCUUGACCGUGAUAACGUAGCAUAAUCACUCGCCAUUUAAUUGAUGGAUAGUAUGAAUGGUUGAACGAAUAUUCCACUGUCUUAAAAAGAAUCAAAUAAAAUUAAAAUAAUAGUUAAGAUGCUAUUUUAAAUUGUAAGACGAAAAGACCCUAUAGAGCUUAACUAUAACUUUUUUAUAUCAAUAAAAACAAAAAUUUUGAAUUUAGAAAAGUUGGUAGUUUAGUUGGGGCGACUACCUUCUAGAUUAAACGAAGGUAAGCAAAGUUUAUAAAAAACUUAUUAUAUAAACAAACUAUUUAAUAAUUAUAAAAGUAGGCUAUAAUGACCCGUUAGUUUUUAAUAAAAAAUCUAACGAUCAAUUAAUAAAAGCUACCUUAGGGAUAACAGGAUAAUUUCAUUUUAGAGUCCAUAUCAAAAAUGAAGUUUGUCACCUCUAUGUUGAAUUAA